CCUACGGGUGGCAGCAGUGGGGAAUAUUGCACAAUGGGCGCAAGCCUGAUGCAGCCAUGCCGCGUGUGUGAAGAAGGCCUUCGGGUUGUAAAGCACUUUCAGCGGGGAGGAAGGCGGUGAGGUUAAUAACCUCAUCGAUUGACGUUACCCGCAGAAGAAGCACCGGCUAACUCCGUGCCAGCAGCCGCGGUAAUACGGAGGGUGCAAGCGUUAAUCGGAAUUACUGGGCGUAAAGCGCACGCAGGCGGUCUGUCAAGUCGGAUGUGAAAUCCCCGGGCUCAACCUGGGAACUGCAUUCGAAACUGGCAGGCUAGAGUCUUGUAGAGGGGGGUAGAAUUCCAGGUGUAGCGGUGAAAUGCGUAGAGAUCUGGAGGAAUACCGGUGGCGAAGACGGCCCCCUGGACAAAGACUGACGCUCAGGUGCGAAAGCGUGGGGAGCAAACAGGAUUAGAUACCCCUGUAGUC
rnacentral:rRNA from 1 species